AAGCGUCCCAAUGCACAGUGAGUCCAAACAGACCGAAAUGCCAGGGUUUGGUGUAGAGAAAGGUUUAUUGCAGGGCCAUGCAAGAACGGGCAGUUCGUGCUCAAAAGACCUGAACUCCCCAAGGGAAGUGAAUCUGGAGAAGAGAAGCAGAAUUCACCAUCCCAAAAUAUGCCUCUUUGGCAUAAGGAUUAUUUUGAGCUGACUAUUUUUAUGAAACUGCAGACACAGAAGAAACUCUGAGAACUGAUUAGAAGUCACCCUUUUGUAAGAGACACUUAUGUUCAUAAGAGAAACCUCUGUUUGUAAGGAUGUUUCCUUCUACACCAGAAAAAGGAUGACAAAGUCUCCAGAAACUCUAUCAAUGGACAAGGAAGGACUUAAAUCUUACCCUCCUUCACUGCGUUUUGCCUGAAAAUCUCCCACAACUGGCUCCCCACCCCCAACAUCUUCUGUCUUUUGCUGAAGAGGAUAUUUGAGGUGGUGCUUGGGUCAUUUCAGGGAGUUGCUCAGUUUCCCUGGCUACCUCCCAUGUAUUCAGCUGGUGUGCAGGUUAUUAGGCUUCUCUUGUCUUUCUCCUGUUAGUGUCUUUUUUUGUUAUUGUUACAAGGGCAUCUCAGCCAAGAACCUAGAAGAGUAGAGGGAAAAUUACUUUUUCUCUCCUACAAAAGCAAGUGUCCACUUUGGAUCCAUCUCACCUAAACUCUAUUAAUAGUAGAGGUUGUCUGUAAUUCAUGUAAUACAUGGUCUUGUCUUUAGAGUACCAAAUAAUUCAUUUCACUUGCUUUUUAAUCACUGAAUUGACUUAAGGAAAAGAUAGUUUGGGUAUCUCAAAACAGCCUGAAUUGACCAAAAAGAGUCAUUGAAAAAUCAGUGAAUUUCAUGUAGCAUAUGAGGUUUUAGCUUUAAGUAGGAAGGUUUCCAGAAGUGCCAGAAAGCAAAAGCACUGAGGCAUAGGUCCAUAAAAGUCAGCAGCAACAAACGCUCAUCCUCAUUUUAAACCUAACGUUCUUAGACCUUCAUGAGAAGAAUCCUUGGCUGAGGCUCUUCUCUGAACAGGCAAACGCUAGCAGGUCACCUUCCCAUGACUCAUUUGACCUCAAAAGACUGCCUCCUAGACUCAUAAUGACGAUCAAGUCCUUCUGACGAACAGGCUGUGACGACACCGGUGGCUUAUUUCUUCCUGCACCUGCUUCUGCUACCUUCUAGGUCCCUGGAGAA
ensembl:lncRNA